rnacentral:hammerhead_ribozyme from 1 species
AUCCAACUGACGAGUCUCAAACAGGACGAAACACACCUCUUCGAU